rnacentral:rRNA from 1 species
CAGUCGCCACGGUAAUACGUAGGGUGCGAGCGUUAAUCGGAAUUACUGGGCGUAAAGCGUGCGCAGGCGGUUUUGUAAGACAGGCGUGAAAUCCCCGGGCUCAACCUGGGAAUGGCGCUUGUGACUGCAAAGCUAGAGUGCGGCAGAGGGGGGUGGAAUUCCGCGUGUAGCAGUGAAAUGCGUAGAUAUGCGGAGGAACACCGAUGGCGAAGGCAUCCCCUGGGCCUGCACUGACGCUCAUGCACGAAAGCGUGGGGAGCAAACAGGAUUAGAUACCCCAGUAGUCCCUGUCUCUUAUACA